GGACUCUAAUUUUGAAAAAUUACCUGACUGAGCAGGGAGCAGCCAUUUUAGUUUCAGUUUCGCUCAACUCUCUCAAGCAUUAAGCUCCAUGUGACUGCUGCUCCAGUUUUCUUUAAUGUUUAUGCCUUCGAAAGCAUUGUCAUUUCACUCUUCUUUGAAUCAUAUUGGAGUAAACAUCAGGAGUUUUUCUUGGAAAACUGCACCCUGACUCCAGUCUUUAUUUGAAGGGAGUUUGGCUUGCUGCUGAAUUGUGUUCACACAUAUGGAAACGCACAAGGAGAGCAGUAUAGUGAAAUGACAUAAACUCAGCUGGCUGAACAUCUUGGCAGACCCAUACAGCAGCAAGUAGCGAUCAUCAUGGCUGAAAGUUUCACUCUUCUUUGAAUCAUAUUGGAGUAAACAUCAGGAGUUUUUCUUGGAAAACU